GCCCGACUAGCUCAGUCGGUAGAGCAUGAGACUCUUAAUUUUAGAGUUGUGGGUUCAAUCCCCAUGUUUGGAG